CCUCAGGCUGAUUGUGAGACAAAGUCAGCAAAUUCUAAUUGAGGUGCAUUCUACAAAACACCUGACUACUACUCCUCAAACCGUCAAGUUCUUCAGAAAUAAAGAAGGUUUAAGAAAUUAUUACAGUCAAGAUACAUGGCAACUAAACGUGAUGUGGUAUCCUGUAUGGGAUACAGAAACUGAAAAAGUACAUUAUGUAAAAUCCAAGGAAACCUGAAUCAAGUAUGGAUGUUAAUUAAUAAUAAUAUUCAAUUUUGGUUCAUUAGGUAUGAUAAAUGUAUUACAACAGGGGUCCAAAGUGGCUCCCGCCGGAGGUCGUGGCGCUUGCGAAGGCGAGGUCAUGAGUUCAAGGCUAACCUGAGCAACCUUAUAAGCUCAAACUGAUUGUCAAAAAAAAAAAAUGUAUUACAACAAUGAAACAUACUAACCACAGGAUAACUUCCCAAUCCAUACUAAAUGCCCAAUAAUUAUUGUAUAUGAAAACUAUUAUGUUCAUAACUUUACUUUAAAUCUCUAUGUGGUGAUAUUUUCUGGAAAGCAUUUCUUGUCUAUUAGUUCAUUUACUCCUCACAAGAAUUCUAUAGUGUAGAUAUUUUUCAUUUACCUUUGGGUAAAAAAGUAAAACAUGAUUUUUUUUGCAUCUUGCUUAACAUCACUCAAGUCUUAGGUGGUAGAAAUAGGACUUGAAUUAUAUGAUUACAAAUUCUUUUCUGCAGCAACACAAACCAUGAAAUACCAACAGCACUGAGAACCUUGAUAGCAGGCAAUAUCUUUGAAUAAUUAAUUCACAUUUCUAAGUGAUAUGUAUAGCAUUAUAUAUUGUAAUGAGUUUUAAAUUAUGUGUUGACAGGUAUCUAAAGAUGAAAAUAGAGGUCAAGUAUUUGGGUUCUGGGAGCAAAUUUCCUAGACUCAAAUCCCACUGUAACACUUUGCAGCUGAAUGACCUGGCCGAAGUUGUCUGUGGUGUGUUUAUUCUGUUCCUUAAAACAUGAUGCUAUGGCAAUAUUUAAAAGGAGCCAAGCCUGCUAACUCAGACAGCAUUUCCAGACCUCCCAUGGAGUGCAUAUUCAUGUACUGGUGCUUUCGUUUCUUUGAAAUAGACUCCCAAAGUGGAAUUUAUGAAACAAAGGGUACAGUCGUUUUUACUGUCAAUGCAAAACACUACAUGCCUCUCUUCCAAUAAUGGUUAGCAGAAGAAACGUACACAUGCAUGGGAUAUAAAAAGGUGACAGUGUUAAAAGUCUGCAACAAUUAAGUUGACUGGAUAAGCUCCAAGGGAAGAGGAAUAAGAACAAAAAAGCAAUUUUAAACAAUUUAGAAAGUCACAGUAAUUGUGAAUUUGCCAAUGAAAAGAAACACGUCUCUGUGAAUGUAUUUAAAGAGCAUGUUUUGUCCUCAUUGUAACUAAAGUAUAAUAGUUAUAUGUAGCAAAUGUCUGUGGACUAAGGGAUUUCUCAGAAAUGUUGCUCUAAAAUGUCAGGUUAUGGACAGAGCAAGCUGUGGAACACUCGUUUGUGUCACUCUCGUUUUUAAAAAAAUGUAUAUCAAAUAAUAAAGAAUUUCAUGAGCCAAAACCA
rnacentral:lncRNA from 13 species